rnacentral:rRNA from 1 species
AUUGAACGCUGGCGGCAUGCCUUACACAUGCAAGUCGAACGGCAGCACGGGUGCUUGCACCUGGUGGCGAGUGGCGAACGGGUGAGUAAUACAUCGGAACAUGUCCUGUAGUGGGGGAUAGCCCGGCGAAAGCCGGAUUAAUACCGCAUACGAUCUACGGAUGAAAGCGGGGGACCUUCGGGCCUCGCGCUAUAGGGUUGGCCGAUGGCUGAUUACCUAGUUGGUGGGGUAAAGGCCUACCAAGGCGACGAUCAGUAGCUGGUCUGAGAGGACGACCAGCCACACUGGGACUGAGACACGGCCCAGACUCCUACGGGAGGCAGCAGUGGGGAAUUUUGGACAAUGGGCGAAAGCCUGAUCCAGCAAUGCCGCGUGUGUGAAGAAGGCCUUCGGGUUGUAAAGCACUUUUGUCCGGAAAGAAAUCCUUGGCCCUAAUACGGUCGGGGGAUGACGGUACCGGAAGAAUAAGCACCGGCUAACUACGUG